rnacentral:rRNA from 1 species
GACGAACGCUGGCGGCGUGCUUAACACAUGCAAGUCGAACGGAAAGGCCCCUUUGGGGGUACUCGAGUGGCGAACGGGUGAGUAACACGUGAGUAACCUGCCCUUGACUUCGGGAUAACUUCAGGAAACUGGGGCUAAUACCGGAUAGGAAUCCUUGCUGCAUGGUGGGGGUUGGAAAGCUUCGGCGGUUUUGGAUGGACUCGCGGCUUAUCAGCUUGUUGGUGGGGUAGUGGCUUACCAAGGCUUUGACGGGUAGCCGGCCUGAGAGGGCGACCGGCCACAUUGGGACUGAGAGACGGCCCAGACUCCUACGGGAGGCAGCAGUGGGGAAUAUUGCACAAUGGGCGGAAGCCUGAUGCAGCAACGCCGCGGGCGGGAUGACGGCCUUCGGGUUGUAAACCGCUUUCAGCAGGGGCGAAGCUUGUGGUGACGGUACCUGCAGAAGAAGCACCGGCUAACUACGUG